CAUUAAAGAAAAAAAAGCAAAAAAGGAAAAAAUUCUGCCUGAAAAUUCAAAACCUUAAAAAGCCAAAACGAGUAAAAGCCCUCCCGAUUUUUGUUGAUAUCCCGAAUCUACCUCUCCCUCAAUUCUCUGUUAUUUUUUCCCUCACUCUUAUAAUCGCUUUUAAGAUCGUAUCAAUAAAGAUAAGUUAAGUGGAAAAGUGUGCCCAGAAGGCACCUGUCUUUUUACUUUUCAAAUGAAAUUUGAUAUCAAUAGUUGGUUUUUGCAUGCAACAGGUAUGUUUGGAAGCUUACUGGAAUAUGUUCUUCAAGGGCUCUAGUUCUUGAGUAACAAGAAUAUGUUUCCUUCUUCUUUGUCAGCUUGAUGCAGACAUCAGGCCCUACAAGUGCUUACUCUUUGCAGCCUAGAUAAGCUGUGUCUUUUAUCUGGAUGUCGUGUUUGAUAUGGUAAUUGAAUAAUUAAAAGUAGCAUUUCAUACCUUUCCAAAAGCAGUACUGAAUUCCCUCAGUUGAAAGUCCUAGUAAACAUGGAUUUCUUUUU